rnacentral:lncRNA from 10 species
GAGGCGAAGCGCAGGCCCACAGCUGUGCGGCAGGAGCCACCCUCACAGCAGAGCCGGUGUAGACGCUUGAACGGCUCCUGCAGACACUCCCCUCUCCCCCUCUUAAAAAAACAAAUGCCCUGGCCUCCAUAGCCCCCAACAUACCUGCUUGUGCCCUCCUCUCUCCACUGGUAUCACAAACAGAAACAUCAAUCUGCCUUUGUUUUGCCAGGUCUGUUUCCACACACCCUUCCCAUUAUAUUUGAAAACAAAGCUUCCCAUCUUUGCUCGGACUUCUCAGCCUACUUUUAAGCAAAGCACUAACAAGCGCCUCCAGGGUGGGGUGGAGAGUUUGUGCCAAGAGCAGGGCUUGGCCCAGAGCCCAUCCCUUCCAGGCCUGGUCACAGGGAGAGAGGGUGGAGAUACAGCAGACAGAGGGGCCGAGAAGGGGCCUGCGGCCUCCCCACCUUGCCUCUCCCUCUGAGGGGCAAGGCUGUGGAACCCCAGAAGACAGGCCUCUGAGAGGACCCGGGUCACCCGGACCUGGACUCAAAUCCCAUCCCUGUACCUCUCCUUGGAUGAACCAUCGAACACUGAGCUUCCAUUUUGCAUCUUCCAACUGCACAGAGAAUUCAUAGGCAAGCGGAGGCCUGAUGUGGAACUAAUGGGGCUCUGCGUCAUGGGCAACUAAACCUGGAGGGGGCACCGUGCCCGGUUCUCCCAGAGAAGAGAAGAAGGACUGGGCAGACAGCUCUCCAUCUCUCUGUGGAGGCCUCCCCUCCCACUUCCUUCCCCAACACCCCACCUCCACCUGCUGCUUCCAACCCCCAGCCCUGUUGGUUCUAGAAAGUUUGGUUGUUAUCCAGCAGGAGGAUGAGGACUGGUUUAGAGCAGAGCCAUUAAACUACAACCUGUGGGCCAAAGCUGGCCCACCCCUUGUUUUUCUAAAUAAAGUUUUAUUGAAAC